rnacentral:rRNA from 1 species
UACGAAGGGUGCUAGCGUUGUUCGGAAUCACUGGGCGUAAAGCGCGCGUAGGCGGCUUUUCAAGUCAGGGGUGAAAUCCCAGAGCUUAACUCUGGAACUGCCUUUGAAACUGAAAAGCUGGAGUGUCGGAGGGGAUGGCGGAAUUGCUAAUGUAGAGGUGAAAUUCGUAGAUAUUAGCAGGAACACCGGUGGCGAAGGCGGCCAUCUGGACGACAACUGACGCUGAGGCGCGAAAGCGUGGGGAUCAAACAGG